CCAAAUAAUUUUCCGAAUAUUUUUAUGCCAUAUUUAUUAUCACUCCUAAUAAUGAUCUUAAUUACUUAGUUACCACUAUAUGCAUAUAUCCUUUCAAUUACAAGGAACAUAUUACUAGUUCUCUUGAUUGAUCACAACAAUCUGAUAGUAUCGGUUUACUUUUUUACCAAACAAACAAAUGAAAAGAACAUUUGGCUUUAUCCCACCAAGAUAAGUAACAGAACGAUUAAACCCUUGAUGCCUUGUCAACAGAAAAGCCAACUUCACUCGAGUUUGCAAUCAUCCACCUUGGCUGGUUUUUGGACAGGAUCCAGCUCAACAGGAUUAGGUUCUCCAGCAG
rnacentral:lncRNA from 1 species